GUUUUAUUUUUCCAAUAGAUAGGUUUCCAGAGGCUUAUUUGAGUCAAAUUUGGCACAUUAAGUGUCAUUAUGAUUUGGUUAGCAUACACAUUUACAUUUCCAGAAUCCAGAUGGGAGUUCAAGCAUUACUUUUUGUCAUGCUCAUUUUUUUUCCCUCUUCUUUCUCCUUUUCUGGGGUGCUUAGGAUUGACUCCGCCAGAAUACUUGAAAUAUCAGCAAUUCAUUAAAAUGUUGAUGUGACAUCCUUUUUAUCAGAAUUUAUUUACUGUUUUUCUUUUUCUUUUUCUUCUUUCUUAAAACUCUGAAGACACAUUUUAUCCUGGACUAAUUAUGGUACUAUGACCAAAAUUAAGUUACCAUGAAAAGUCUCUGGUGAUUCUCAGAGACACCACAUAACCUCACAAAGAUUUGCAUAUCUAGAUCAGAAUAGAGCAUCAUUAAAAUGGUUGGACAAAGUACAGGAGACCUUAUAUUAUUUCUAUUUCUGUAUUUUGUAUUUUAGUCAUUAUCCAGUAACUUCAUAAUGUUUUCUCCUCAAUCUUUUGGUUUCUUUUGGCAGCUGAAAAGUCUCACUAUGCUGCUAGAGAUCCCAUAAUAUCCUUGAAGAAAUAUAUAAUUGAGAAAAGCCUAGCCAGUGAAGCAGAGUUGAAGGUCAUUGAGAAAAAGAUAGAUGAAGUGGUUGAGGAU
rnacentral:misc_RNA from 1 species